rnacentral:SRP_RNA from 1 species
GCCAGGCACAGUGGCACAUGCCUAUAGUCCCAGCUACUUGGGAGGCUGAGGCUGGAGGAUCACUUGAGCCCAGGAGUUCUGGGCUGUAGUGUGCUGUGCCAAUCAGGUGUCCACACUAAGUUCGGCAUCAAUAUGGUGACCUCCUGGGAGCGGGGGACCACCAGGUUGCCUAAGGAGGGGUGAACCAGCCCAGGUUGGAAACAGAGCAGGUCAAAACCCUGGUGCUGAUCAGUAAUGGGAUCCCGCCUGUGAAUAGCCACUGCACUCCAGCCUGGGCAACAAAGUGAGACCCCAUCUCU